rnacentral:miRNA from 1 species
AUCCAGGAUCUGAUCAGACGCACC